AAAAUAAUGAAAAGUGAUGACUGUUCUUUUAUAUUUUUCGCUGCAAAUUAAUUGUUCAUUCAUUCUUUAGCGUGUGCGCGCCAUUGCGCAAAGAUUGGCAUGAAAAGAGUGCACCAUAGAACAUGUUUUCAGAGUCCAUUUCCAUUUCCAUGCAGUUGACUAGACUGCAUACAUGCCUAGGUACGUACGUAGUUCCAUUAAUCAAACUACACAGAAAACAUAUAUGGGUACUAAACGAGUACUGAAAGACAUAUAUAAACACUUCCAUGCAGACUCAAGUACAC